rnacentral:lncRNA from 1 species
UUUCUUUUCUUUUGAAAACAUAGAGCAUAUUUGAUGCACAUGAACAAAAUGAGAAAUUGAUGUUCCUUACAAUUUUAAAUACUGAAUUUUAAAGAUAUUUCCAAUAUACACACAUGUAUUUAUUAACUUGUAAAUAUAUAUUAUAAAUUAUGCACACGCACACACACACACACACCUUUUGUGGUCCUAAGACUAUCAUUCAAAGCCAGACAUCUUGUCUCUCACAACACACAUUAAAUUAUGAGUUUUUGUCAGAUAUUUUAUCUGGCUAAGUUUGGCCUCCCCUCACCAUAGGAAUGGCCCCAAUUUUAUCUGGGCCUCAGCUCAUCUGGGGUGAUCCUGAGAAACAACCCCUCCAGAUUCCUGGUGCUCCGGAUCCAUACCAGACACGAGCCCCUAGCAAGUUGAGCACCAAGACCAUGCUGAGAAAGUCUGGCUUGUAAUACAAGGUUACAUCGGCCUUUAAUUGUAAAUCUGAGGUUUUAAUCUAGUAAACACUUCACUAAUUUAUAGUUCCCUAGAGCAGAAUGAAUGAAAUUAGAAAUAAAGUAGAUGUUCCCUUUGGGAAAUUAUUGACAAGGAUUUUGGAGUGAAUUUAUUUCUUGGCAGUUUCAGGAGAGAGAAUCCCUCUCUCCAGGGCUGUUUCCUGAUUGGAGAUGCUUGGACAGGACCCAGGGCUGUUUGUGGGGAGGGAGGACUGGGCUUGGGGACAGUCACAGCAGCCCUGCAGAUCAACCUGUCUGGAUAUUUAGCCCAUUUAUGUGUUUACCCUUAAACACGGCCCGCAGAUGCUCUCCCAGGAGUGACAGUUUGAGGACACCACAUCUCAUCUGCUCUAUGCUUCUGUUGCAUCUUUGCAGAAAGAAUUAUAUCCCUGGAGCUACAGAAUUCCCAUCCAAUUCUAAUUCCCAUCCAAUUUAUUUCAAAUUAUCUAGGCUCCACAGGUGAGGUGCUUAGAUGCUCUCUAUUCAGAAAUGAGAGAUGGAGAUGACCUGCCUCCCUGCAAAGGGAAAUGCAGAAUAUCUGAUGGCAGGAACCAGUGAGACAUCCCACUGUUACCUGACUUCUUUCAGGAGAAACCAUUCAGACCAAUGCUUUCCGGCAGCUUUGGCUCUGGGGGAUAAGUGCCAGUAGAACCCUCUGGAAUGAUGGGAAGCUUAUUCUGUGCUGACCCAUACACUGGUCCUGAGCUACUUGGAAUUGGGACUCUAACUACAUUUAAUGUUUAUUAAUCCAAAUUUAAAUAGACACCCAUAUCAAGUAGAUCCACAUAUGGAGCCAUAUCAAAUACAAUCAGACUUCACUGGCAUUGUUCUUAUGUAUUUUUACCACAUUCUAAUAAACAUUUAGGAAGAUUUCACUCCUGCACCUGAACAAUUUAGGAAUUUUCCUUAGCACUUCGGGUGCUCAAUUUUUUUUAUAGAUUAAGCCAUUGGAGAGUAGAUUGAUAUACUUUUUAUUUGUAUACUGUUCUUUUUUUUACAAUUGGUGUAGUGGAUAGAUUAACUAUGACAUAGUUUCACAGUACUGGUAUCAGAACAGAAUACUUGCGUGUUCAUAUUAAAAUAAACAGCAGCCUCACUCCAUGGUACAGUGUGACUGAAUCUAAUACCAGUUAGUAGAAAGACUUAUUUAUUUACUUAUUUAUUUGGCACUAGAGAUUGAACUCAAGCUCUUUGCCCUGAGCUACAUAUCUGGCCCUUUUCUAUUUUUUAUUUUGAGUCAAGGUCUCACUAAAUGGAACUUGUGAUCCUCCGGCCUCGGACUCCCAAAGCGCUGUUUUUAUUUUUAAAAGACAUUCAGCUUUAUGACAUUUGCACAUGUGCAGGAAUUCAAAAUUGGCAAUUGCAGUGUGAUCAAAGAGGUCCUUUGGCCAUCUCUUCCAUGUGUCUAAGUGUCCCUGAGACCAUGAGCAGGUUCAUUAACAACCCCAGGACUUUCGGUUGUGAGGUGCCAGUUUUCUGCUUAUAUCUUAAACAUUCCUUUCUGAUCCUCUCUGCUGCUAGCAGCCUCCAGUAGGGAAAAGCUUGCCCAGCUAGGAAGGGUGAGUGCGGCAGCACUUCCCUGUCCUACUUUUUCUUUCUGUCCUAAAUUGUGAAGGUGCCAAAAUAAUGCUUUUUUUUUCUUUUUCUUUUCUUUUUUUUUUUUUUUCUCGCCAUUUAGAGUUCAAAUAGGGAGCUUGCAGAGGCCAAUACAGACAGGUCAAGCUGGGCUGCUCACACACUUAUGUUCCCUUUUUUCAGUACUGCAGAUUAAACCCAGGGCCUUCACACCGAGCUACAUCCCCAGCCCUUUCUAUUUUUUAUUUUGAGACAGGAUCUCACUAAAAUGCUAAGUUGUCUAGGCUGGGAUCAAACUGGAGAUCCUUCUGCCUCAGCCUCCCAAAGUGGUGAUGUUAGCAUUUUGACUAAUCACAGUGCAUCUGGAAUCUUGAAGCCUGCCUUUCUGCUUAACAUAUAGAUUAUAUCACCUCAUUUGUAAUAGCUACAUACUAUUUCUGGGGGGGAAUGGUGGUUGUUUGGUUUGGUUUUCUGAGACAGAGUAUGGUAGUCCAGGCUGGCCUUGAACUUGUGUCAAUCUUCCUGCUUCAGCCUCCAGAGUGCUAAGAUUAUAGGCAUGCGCCACCAAUUCUGGCAGGAAAAUAUUUCUGUAGCUUCUAUCAUAACAAAAUAAUAAUAAAACCCGAGCACCAGGCAUCCGGCAUCUUGGCCAGGUGUCGCCUACUUCCUCACGGGCUGCGGCCAGCAGCAGCAGGUUGUGAACGUGAGUGCCUCUUGCAAGGUGUGGUUGGCAGCGACUAGGGUUUCAUCGAAGCUGGAGAAACAACCGCAGACGUCGCCAGCUGUCAUCGGGCAUCUGUGAUGCUGUGAGCAGAUGCGUCCCUGUCCUCCGUGGCUUCUGACACCUGGGCAAGCAGCAGGCACCUCAUCCAUGCCUUCUGGGUGCUCUCCUGGAAGCCCAGCACAGCAGGCAGGGCAGCAGGUGGUCCUGUAAGGACUGCAAGUCUUGGCAGGACCUGGGGUUCCGGUCCCCAGGGUGAGCUUUACGGUGUCGUCCAACUUGGCUUCACAGUGGCUGCCAGAAACAUCUGGAGACCCAGAAACCAGAGGCAUUUGAUGGGGAUGUUUGGGUUCCUGUUGCUGUGGUGAUCUUGCUGGAAGCUGGCCUGGAGGUCCUUGCAGAGCCUGAGUGGCUUUGGGCAGGGUGGGGGCCGAGCACCCAAGACCCACCCUCCUGUCCUUGGACUGGGCGGACACGACCCUCAGCCCUGUCUACUUCCUCGCUGGCGGAGCCAGAACAGUCUUCUUUCUGGAAAUGAAAAUAAUGACAAAAUCUCAGCACAAAUAUCCCGCCUCCGAACGUCCAGUGUCUCCAGUGCAGCAGUCCUCCUCUAUUCCAUGCAAUUGGCCCAGGAAGGAGAGUCAGGUUUUCAGUACCAGCUGGGCAGCCCCCCUCAGACAUCGCUGCCCACUGAGCUUCCCUGAACUGUACUGCAGAAACACAGGGCCUGAACUUAGGCUGCCAGUUCCUGUUGAAGAAAGAUGACACUCCGGGAUACUGGCCCCAAAGCCGGCUGGACCCUGAGUCUUUGUGCAGCAAGAGGGCCUGGGUGCCCUUCAGCUGCCUGGCACCCAGGAUGUACUGAGUGCCUGGAGCAUGGCACGACAUCACUGAAGCCCACAGAAGCACAAAUGAGAGAGGGACCGGGCGAGUGUCACCUCUAAGUCAGCAGAGUCUGAGAUCGUAACCAAUAUGAAACCAUUGUUAAAAAAGAAAAAGAGGCCAAGUGUGGUAGCACAAGCCUGUCAUCCUAGCACCCUGGGAGACUGAAGCAGGAGGAUCUCAAGUUCAAGCCCAGCCUGGGCAACUUGUUGAGACCCUGUCUCAGAGUAAAAAUGCACUUUACAGAAGAGGAACUAAAGGCUUAUUAGAGAUUCAUCACUUGGCUCCUUCCAUUUAAACUCACAUCUGUUUCCCAAAUUUAAAACUCAUCUCAGAAAAAAAAAAAAAAAAAGAGAGUUUUGCCUGAUUUUAAGGCCAGGAUCGUUUGUGGAGGGAAAUGAGAUGGAAAUUGAGCUGUCCUGGAGAGGAUUUCUCCUUACGGAUGGAUCCUUGCUGCCCUGGAUUCCUGUAUGGGAGGCUUGACCCUCUGACCUUCUACUAGGUCCUUCCUCCUGAGCUACAGCUCCUUGUCACCGUCUCUAAGCUCAUAGGAUAGAUCCCUGCCCUCCUCUGCCCCCCACCACUGUCCCUCCCUGACACCUGGGAUGAGUGUUAGACUGAAGUUCAGUGAUUUCCUGUUGAUACAUUUUCAGGGCAAAUAACGUUGGUGUAACAUCACCUCACAGAAGUUUCUAUCUGUUUAUUGGAUGUUCUGCUUGCUUGCUGCUCGUUUUGGAUGAAACAUCCCAUGUUUUCAGACUGGUUUUCCUGGUUUCAGCAAGCCUCACACAUGCUCAGGGCAGUCUCAGAACUCACUAGAAGGUGGGCUCACUGACAGGGACCUGGGUACCUUGUCCAUGGUGUAUGCCCAGUGCCUGCACGGCACCUACCAUCCUGGAAAAUGGGCAAACGAGAGUCAGUUGACCUGCAGCGUCCAUCACCUUUGCUAACUGUGGCCUUUAGCUCGAGAUCUUUCCACAUUACAGCGCCACCUGCAGGAUUGAGUUGUGGCUCCCCAAAUCUUACCUGCAGAACAACGCUGUAGUGACCGCUGAACAGCUCUCCAUAGACGGCUCUGGAGCAUUUCUCUUUUCCUUUCUUUCACGUUGUAACAAGAGCUUUUGCCAUAGAAAAUGUGUGUCUCUGGUUUUUCUAAUUCCCCAGGGAGAUCCAAUGGAUAACUGUAUAGAUUAAGUAGAAAUAGUUGAAAAUUUGCUUUUCAUUUCAUUGCAAAUGGGGAGAUCUGUUAUUUGUUUUCUUUGAACAGUUCCUUCUAACAAUCUGGUCCGGAAUGUCACAUGAAUAAAGACUCCUCUGGGGCCUAGAAGCUGCUGAACCCCCUGGGCCAUCUCAGAAUGCGGUAUAAACAGAGCCACACAGACCUGUGGUGACCACAGAGUCCCUCUGCUAAAGUCCACGUCCGAGGCAGGACCAGAGCACACUGAGACCCAAGGCCAGACUUCUAUGCCAGUCAUCCCUCUCCCUUUCUGGGUGCCACCUACAAUAUGGGGACACCACUGCACCUUCCCGAGAGGUCAUUAUGAAGAUCAAGCUGAGCCUAUUUGUAAAGUGCUCAGAAUGGCACUGGGCAUCCAGAGGAGCUACAUAGGCAUUUGUUCAGAGAGUGAUGGAGGUCUGAAUCCACACAGAGCACAGAGCCAGCCAUGGGUGUCAUCGUGGGCCAGGUCACAGGAGCUCUGAGAUCAUCUGGAGGAGGGGAGACAGGAUGGCAGGACAAAAACAGGACAAAGAUAAUUAACCCACUCGAAUUCAACCCAGUUCCAACAACGAAGGAAACAAAGCUUCCUCUAUUUGAAACUCCAACAAUGAUGAUGAUCAAAAUAUUUCAAAGAUAAAAGAAUUCCAUUUUCCUAAUAUGUCUUUUUCUCACUCUUCUCUAAGAGGGUACAAUUUUAAAAUACUUGUAUCAGACUUGCAAAUCAGGUUGAAAAUCAUCAAAUAAAAAUGCCCAUCAAACACACUUCAGAGCUAAUCCACACUUACUAAUUUCACUUUCCUCAGCCUCAUGCGUUCUGAAUUCUGAAACAUUUUCCAACUGGCAUAUUUUGAUCAUCUUUCUUCUUUGUCAUUUCUCUAUUUUUCAAAUUACUUUGAAUGCUUGCUUCUUUUCUCUUGCCUUUUUUGGAUGGCUUGUGUUUUAGGAUGAGACUCACCUCUCAGAAAGUGAGGUGCGCUUUACUCCGCAUGGGGUCAGGCGGGGAUAGACAAGUGUAGAGAAGUGGAGAUUCAAUCAAUCAAUCUCUCUCUCUCUCUCUCUCUCUCUCUCUCUCUCUCCCGCUAUUUUUCCUUUUAUGGAUUCCGAGCCGAGACCAGCCCGUGGCAUCUUCAGGCCACUACUCUCCACCAGCUUAGCUCUGGACUCUUGGUUUUGUGUCUGGUGCACCUCCAGGUACCUGGCUGCCAUCCUGAUUGGUUAUCACGUGUGCGUAACCCGUGCCACUCCUGCAACAAUACAUUUCACAAUGUCCAUCUUGAUUCUUGCUAAGGGGUCUGUCUCAGACAUGACCUCUGCUGCAGCUUCAGAGAAGCUGUCUUCUCACUCUAGGAAACAACAGUUUGAGUUCAGAUCCAGAGCUCUGUCGCCCACCAUGACACGGACGUCUUAAAUUUACUAGCUCUUCCAUUCUUCCAAAAUGUCCCGUGUGUCCCUGGGUCCACACACCAGCUUGCUCAGCUCACGCUUAUCAAGACUCAAGCCUUCUCUCUGUGCUGGGCCUUGACAAUACAGACAGGUGACCUGGACAGAGAGUGGAGCAGCUGGGCCAGGUGUCAGCCCUUCUGGGGACAGAGGAAAAGGACACAUGGGUCACUCUCCACACUCACCAGCCACAGGCCUUCGGCAAUCAGUUAGACUUUCUGAUUUCCUUUUUCUUAUCUAGAAAAAGCAGCAGUCAGGCCAGCACAGUGUCCCAGGGCUCUCAUGGGGUCAGACAGAACCGCCGCCUGGGUCACAAGGCCGCAGGGUGGGCAGUUACCCCUCAUCAUCUGGUGAGGAAGGGACAGGGCACCUGGGGCAUGAAGGGUGCUCCCUGAUAAGAUUAGGGUACUCCUGGUGAGGUCCGAUCCUUACAACUGCUCCCAACCUGGCUCCCUCGUGCACAGCCUUCCCACAGCCCUUGGAGAACAGAGCAGGAACUAGUAGUGAAUUCCAGAAAAAACGUUGUCCCUGAGUGUCGAGCAGGCUGAGGACCUGGCUGGUUCCAGCCUGUUAGUUUGGGUGACAAACAGCGACAGGAUCCUGAGACGCCCUUCACCCACACUCCCAGUGUCCACCCAGGCACCCCCCACCCCCAGCCAGGAGGUGACAAAGAGCCCUGGUUGCUGGAAUCUGUCCUUCCUGGAGCUGCUGCAGGAAUAAAGCCAAUGGAAGAAGAACGUCAAAGCCCAUGCCUGACUUCUCAGCCCUGAAGCACCACCUGGCAGCUGCUCAUUGGCCCUUCCGGGGGAACAGCUCUUCUGCUCGGGGAUGACAUCUGUUCAUUCCGGUACCCCUGAGCCUGGGAGGCAUCACAAGGUGACAGCUGCUCUCCUGACGACGGAGUGGGACACUGGCUCCCAUCAUUCUGACAGCACUGCCCUGCCUGGCCCUGCUAGUGCAGCCCCCUCUACUUGGUCCUUGAUUUCUGUGAACCUCAGACCCCUCAUCUUUCAAGCUAGGACAAUGAUCGGUAACCAUUUCCACCUCAAAGGUGAAGACCCACUGAGAGUUAGCAUUUGAGUGCCUGAUGCUGAGCCUUGCAGACUGUAGGAAACUGCUCUCCGGAACAGAGCAAGACCAGAAGGAAGGAAGGACGGCUGCAUAUAAGCGCCCAUCGCCACGCCUUCCAUCCCCAGAGCGGGACGCAUUUGCCUCACCAGGGAGAGGCCUCCUGAGCCUGUAACAGAGAGCACACGGUCACUUCUUUCACACACUGCAUAUGCCUACACGUGCACACAUGCACACUUAUGCCAUACAGAGACAGACACACUGGGGCACCACACAGAUACACACUCAUGUAACACACGUCUGCACACACCUGAAGCAGGCAGAUACACAUGUACACACAGUAUACAUACAUGGACACAAGCAUACACACAUACACACAACACACAUGCACAUGUUCCACAAGACACACACAUGCAACACACGUGCUAAUGCCCCACGUGUACAUACACAACAUAUGUGCACAGACUCACAUGCUAACAUCCCACACAUGCACUCACAUACACACAGUGUGCAACCAAAUACACUAUACACACACAUGUAACACCUGUAUGCACACACCUCACACAGGCAUUUACACAAACAUACACAGAGCAUGCACGCAUAACACACAUACACGUGCAACACACACGCACACCACACUGCAUACAACGUGUAUGUCUAUGCACUCAGACCCACCAUACCUGCACGUGCACACCUGUACACACACACACACCACACCCCAGCACAGAAAGUUGAGCCUGCAGUACCAGCUGGCUCCUGAGAGGGCGGGGUCCCAAGGCCAGGUCUCAAGAGCCUCCCCACCAGGCUGUGCCCUUAGCCUGUUUCCCGUGAGAGAUGUGCAGGGCGGCCCCACAAACCAGCACAGCCUGAAACUCCAGAGGUGUGUGCUUCAGAUCUGCUGGGGGGAACAGUGGCAUGCAGACGAGAAGGUCACAGCAACCACAUGAUGUCAGCGGCCCAUUUAGGCCCAGCAAUCCCAGCUAAGCCUGCACCCGUGUGACCAGGACUUCCUUCAGCAGCCUAAAGCUGUCCUGGCAGCAGGCAGCCCUGGAGGCACCCAGUGUCUGGCAUUCCCUUGAAGCUCCAGGAGGGCCAGGGUGUAUCCGAGCGGCUCCUGGCCUCAGCAUAUCUACCCCAAGCCACGCUGCCUGAGCUGCACCCUCCUCCCCCCCAAAGGCCUCCUUCCCGCCCAGGAGCUCCAGCUGCCCCAUCCUCAGCGCCCAGCUGCUCAGGACCCACGGAGCUGAUCCAGGCUUUUUUUUCCUUGCACAUUAUGGAACCAGCCUGCACCGCAGGGAUGGCUGAGGAAAGAGGGAGCCUAGCAACCAGGUCGCCAUAGCAACUCACUCCCCCCUUCCCACCUCCCUCCCAGCCCCAGGGCAGCCUGGACCACUGGAGGACACAGGAAGGAUUAUGCAUCUCCCCCGCCCUGCACCAAUCUUCAAAGUGCCUCCCCCAGGCUGGCAAUGCCUGCCCUGCCUUCUGCUCAGGAAGAGGCCCCAAAAGCCUGUCCCAGGGGCACACACAGACCUGAGGAUUAGAAAUUACUGCAAGGCUCACCUCUGAGAGGACCCUUCCUCCCCCUUCCUUCCAGAAACCAUCCCUGUUCAGGCUUUAGAGCUUGCAUAACAACAAAUCACCUUCAAAAUGCAGUUCCUUUCCUAAGAAGCACAUUCUUAGCAUUAGGCCACUGAAGGGUGCUACUAAAAAAUCACUCUAGGCAGCCACAUUUUGAAAUACUUUUCUUCAAAAUCAGAGCCUAGGGGGCCGGGAUUUAGCUCAGUGUUUCCAGCACCUGCCUCACAAGCACAAGGACUCGCGUUCAAUCCCCUGUACCAAAAAAAAAAAAUCAGAGCCAAGGCUGUUAAAGGGUCGGUAAAUAAAGAUAAAUACUGUUAAUACUUCCAUUCGCAUACAGUCAGCAGACCCCACUUUCUGAUUCCAUAUUAAGGGAGAACAGUUCAUAUAAUGAAGGUAAUGCUCUAACAAUGGCCUGAGUCUACAUGUUUGCAUUAAUGAGCAUAUCUAUAUUUAAUCACGAAACUUCUUAUUGCACACAGACCCUGCAAGGAGCAGGAAUUGCAGACAGAGCUAGAUUCAGCCGAGCCCUGCUCCCGGCCGGGCCAUGGACUCAGCCACCAGCCACCCUUGGUCACUGCCUGACUCUGAAGUCCUCACAGGAUGCCAUUUCUCUCUCCAGCCAGGCUACAUGCCCCUUGAGGUCCAGAACUUUGUCUCAACUCUGUGUCCCCCAUGUGGAGGACAACCGGGCCGACGUUUGAACUAAAGCCCCAGUGACAGGAUGAGCCAUACACAAGGGGAUGCACCAGGGCAUGUUCCGGGCCCUGGAGCCCGAGUCAGGAGCCUGCUGGGCCCCUCAGGGUGGCACAUGCAGCCUCAGCAGGGUGCUGGCAAAUACCACUUCCUCCAGAGCCAGCACUUGUCACAACCUUGCCCAUGAUUUGGGCCGGGGGUGUCUUUCCCUCUGCCUGCCAAGAGGUCUCUCGCACUCCCUCCUCCCUCUCCUGCAUGGCUGUCAUUCUCUACCCCAGGAGGCUAAGGCCACGGGGCCACCCUCUCCCUGUCUGGCCACCGUGCGCCACCAUCCCCAUCCCUGCUCUCUACUUGUCCCACCCCUACACGAAGCCAUCUUCCUUCCUACACAUGUCCUCUACUGGGCUGCUCUUCUCCCCGGCCCCUCUGCCGUCUCCCCACUGCUGGCCCUAAGCCCUCUUGUCUGGAAAUCCUGCCUGUGUGCUUUUGUCUGUACUGCUACACAUGUCCUGGGACAGGGGCAGCUUGGUGGUCCCAGUAGGACAGCUGGAUUCCAAGCCCACUCCCCACUCGGCAAAUUGCUGAACCUGCCCAGGCCAAUUUCUUCUAAAAGCAGGGAUGGCAGCAGCUGUCAUAACACAGGGAAGUGAGGAAAGGUGGGUGUGGGCGAUGCACUCAGGCUCACGGGCCAGGCUCACUGGGUGGGUGUGGGGAAUUCGGGCUGUGCGGUGGGGCUAGUUCUCACAUGGCCUAAGCCUGCAGAGUCCAUGGAUCCUUCUGCUACAUGAAAGAAGGCCCCCAGCCUCCAGGGAGCAGGAGGCCUCUACAACCCAGCCCAUCUUGAAAAGCAGCAGAAACAACAAGAGCAGAAACAACAAGAGCAGAAUCACAGGAGUCCAUGCGUGUGAGCUCUGUGGUCCUCACCAAGACCCUAGAGAGUUGGAAGCCAUUGUUUUCCUAUUUUGUGGGUGCAAAAAACCUACAAAAGUUGAAUACUGAGCUGAUCUGAGUCCUGGGCUUCCAGGCAGGACUUCUAGGGGUGUUUGUUCUUCUAUGCUCCUGAGCUCCCCAGUCUAGAAGUCAGCAGGACCCCUCAGGGCUGGUGAACAGGAAGCCACCCAUCUUCCUUCCUGCCUCUCCAAAAAAGUGCACACUGGUACUGCAGAGCAAGGGCUUCUGGCAGAAACACAAGGACAGGAAAAAUCAGCUCUGUAGCUCUUCUGGACAGAGCUGAGGCUGCAGUGGAAGGAAAGCUCAUCAAGGGCCAGCUGAUCAAGGACUGGAGCUGCCACUCUCUAGCCAGGCAAAGGAAGGAAGGACACCUGGACAGACCACACAUCAAGGUUACCAUCCACUUGGGCUUGAGGCCAGGUCUGAGGACUGCUAAUCGGGAAACAGGAUUCGAGGUCAGUGUCUGCUGAGACCCAAGGAGGAGGAGCCUGCAGUCCCAGGCUCCCAUUGUUCUGGAAGACAGCAGUGGCCACUGGUAUAGUCUGAGGAGCUCAGCCCAUCCAGGGAAGCCCACAUCACACACCAGUAACACAGACCUGGAUCUGUGCACGUUCUCGGCACCAGGACAAGGCAGGACACAGAGGACAGGAAGAGGGACCCUCAGGGGACCCUGGGGGAAGUCUUCAUUAAACCAAGAGGUGUUCCUGGAAUUCCCAUAAGAGGUGUCACCAUCUUCAGAGGGAAUGGAUGGAUACUUGCUGUCCUCAUCAGGCUGCCUCAGGCUAUGACAAGUGUGGAACCCUAUUCAGUGGUCACCCAUGGUGUUCCAACCGCCCCAGGCUGGACAGCUUCCCAGGACAGCCCCUCCUCCUUGGUCAGACUCAUGGUGGGACACUCUUGCUGAAGGGGCCCCAGGAACAUUUGGAAGGUCUCCCUCCCCCUCUCCUGAGAUCCCCUCUCAGAUGCUGUAAGGCUUCUCUGGCAUCUUCUCUGAGCUAAAUGCAUGACUCAUAUCUGCAUCUUGCUGCCCUCCUGGACUGGGGCUGUAUACGCUGUUUCUCACCAGCACUCAGGGCUUCAUCCUUGUCCCACAAUCAGUCCUUCUACCAUCAGUCAUGGAAGGAAGAUCAGCAGAAGGUCACCAUCUUGAGAUCCUGCGUCUGAGCUCAGUCUUCCUUGCACACUCAGUUUCUUGAAGUUUGCUUUGUUCAGUUCUUCCAAGUGCACCUCGCUUCUUCCAUCAGCCUGUUCCCCCUCGAGUGCUGUUGGCACAAAUGGGAGAGACUCCACGCUUCUCCGGCAGCGCCCAGCUCACUCUGAGCACCCUUCCCUUGCCCACAUCCCUUACAUCUGGCCUCCAGGCCCUGGAUGAGCUCCGACAGUGCCUCCUUCUUAGCCCUCCCACAGCACUGAUCUUGAUUAAGGCUGCCCCAAUAGUUGGGAGCCAUCCAAGGCAUCAACAUCUGGUCUUCCCUCCAUGAGAAGAUCAGAGCAGGGACAGAGCCCCAGAGUGAGCACAGUAGUGCUGGGGUCCUUGCCCUCUGACACAGAAGAGUAUGUGUCCACCUCGGCCUCUGCACACUGGGCCUGCUCUACUGUCACACCUGUGGCAUCUCCAGAUCUGUGGAUUGCCCACAUCUGCUUCCUCUCAAUUCCCUCUCCCUUCCUUUCCUCUUUUCUCCCUUUCCUCCCACUUUCCUUACUCAUCCUGAUUUCCUGCAGGUCAGCGGAGGCUCAGCCCUGGGCCCAACACCUCUGACUGCUGACCACUUCUUGCCAGGCCUCCUCACAAUCAAGGGGAAGGCACAAGAAUCAGGAGAAAAACUGUGUUGUUUUUAGGCGCCACAGAUGGUGAUAUCCUUGACACACUGGUCUAAAUAAAUCUUAAAAGUCACUUUCAUACUAUCUUCCCCACUCUCCCCAGUUCUGUAAGACCUGAAAUGUCCAUAGCAAUUGAUUCAUCAACAGUGCAGACCAGGGACGUGACCUUCCCCCCAGAAGUGAGGGACAGGUCACACAAUAGCCACAGGAUGGGAGGAGCGAAGGUGGGAAUAUGUAGAUUCUACUCACAGAGAGGGCCUGGAGGAGGACAGCAGAGAAUUUCUUACAACCCUGACUCCCGUGUGACCACUAGUAAGCUACCUUCUCUGAUUCAAAUCUAUUUCCUUGCCUGUAAAAUAAGGACAUUGAUUGAUCUAUUUCUAAAACCUCUCACAAAAUUAAGUCUGUGAAGUCCUUGUCAGUUUGACCCCCUCCCCAAAAAGAAGCCAUAUUUGCAACAAGGAGAAAAGACAGAUUUUGUAAGACGGAUAUAAUUCUGUUUUUAUAGAAUAAAGGACUUAAAGGGGAGACAAUAAACUAAAGAUAAAAGCUUUAAAAGCAGAGAGUUAUAAAUAAGAGAAGAGGGCAGGAGGCAGCACUGGGGAAGAGAGAGAGGCUGAGAAUCCUAAGGUUGUGUCUACACAGGGUGCAUGUGGAGUGUGGAACCCUUUAAUUUCUCCUGAUUAGAAUUUUUAAAAAGAUUCUUCUGGGAGAUAAGAUAGGAACUUCAAAAACUAAAAGAUCCAUUCACUUGACACACAUAGAAACAAACAGACAGGAACAAGAGUAAGAAGAAUGUUAAAGAUUAGGAGCAUCGUCCCAGCUACCAAGAAAACAUGUGUACCCUGCCUGCUGUUCCCAUAACCCGCCUCUCCCAGGGCUGGCCAAGGUCAGAGCGAGCUGACCUGCUUUUCAGUGCUAGAAAUGCCUUCUCCACUCAGCUGACAAGCAUGCUAAGCCAUCCGUGGACAGAGACACGGAUUGCCCUCCUGGGCCACGGUGGGUUUGGACACUCAAUGCAGCGGGGCUCUCCAGCACUCUGGGCUCUGUCUGCAUCCUUAGGUCGGGGGCACCAAGUGUGAGCUGUCCCGACUUGGUGGCCAGGCCUUGCAGAGGGGAGUGUGAGUUGCUGUGUGUGGCUGCCUGUGGGCCUGGAGGCGGUGUCAGCCAGAGGAGCGUUGUGGAUGUGGUCGAUUUCCGUCUAUCUUGAAUGCAGCCCUGCUGUUCAUGGUGUGGAGAAGAUGGUUGUGGUCAAGGAGAAAUCCUUCCAAACAGUCCCCCUGCCUCUCCCUGUCCUGUCCCCAUCAACAGAGUCAAUGAGUCAGUGGUCAGUGGUGAGCACCAACUCACCCUUGCCUGUCGAUGACUUAUCAUCAAGACCAGGGGCAUAAGUUCACCAAUGACUUCCACUCCUAGAGGUAGGACCUUGGUGAGAGAGCUCACCCUGGUCCAUCUCAGGGUAAAGUAGAUGCAUUCAUCUAGCCAGAAAGGAAUCCCCUGCAUCCAUCUACAUGCCAUCAUUACGCUUUGCCUCUCACUAUAUAAGCGGCACUGACUGCCCCAGACCUCCAUUAGCAACCGAAGGUGAGUACUUCCGGGCCCAGCCCCCCAGCCCUGGCUGGGACCCAAUGCAUGUCAGAUGCAGCCCCCACCCCCGCACCCGGGAGCGUUUGGUGAAUGGGUCAGGCCCUGAAUGUACCCCUGACCCCGGAGAGGGGGCUGGCGGUGAGGAGUGGUGGUUCUGUGGCCUUGAGUCAGCUGCGCCAGUCACCUUUUGUUUUUUUUUUUUGCAUGGGUCCUCGAGUCCAAUUCCAAUUCUGACUGCAGCUGCCCCGCCUCUUGUUUAGCUGGCCCACUGCUGCUGGACGUGCAUGUGCUCUGGCAGCAGUUUCCCUGGACACACCCUGUUAAAUGAAGGGGACAUCAGGAUGUGCUAGGUGCCCCACACCUGGCUGUGACGGUUCAGGACACAUCACCGGCAACUAUGCUUCUCAUCGGAGCCUUUCAGGGUGCCCGAAGAGCGGAAGAAGAGCCGGAUCCGGAUAGCACAGAGCAAAGAAGACAAAGAGGAUCAGGAACCCAUCAGGUGUCCUGUCCCCCGGCUGUGACGCUCAAGGCCACAUCACGGGGAAGUACGCUGUCCCACCGCAGCGCCU